rnacentral:ncRNA from 2 species
AAUAACCAAAUAUAACACUCAGACUAAGGGGCAAAUUAGUAAUUUUUCUUACAUCCCCCCCUAGGGGCCUAGGUAUCGUACACCGCCAAAAUAACUUUUCUCAAAU